rnacentral:ncRNA from 1 species
UUCAGGUGAGAACCUAUAUGACCGAAGUGUAGAAGUGUACCUUGGUAACAGCAGUUGGCUGUGGUUCAGGCCGUCUUAAAUGAUCUGGUAAAUCAGAGCAGAGACAGUUUACCCGACACUGUCCAUUUUCAGGCUUUGUUAGUAGUGAAAGAGAAUCAGAUUGAUAUUCCCCACCGUGCCCAUGAAGAUUGGUUCAUGAUGAACCUUAGAUUCAGUAGGCACCCAGCGCGGUAACUUAUCCAGAAUUGGAGGCAUCGGCGUUAGUCCUGGGAACAUUUCUCUUUUUCUCGCGAGGAGUGCUUCUACCCUCUAGAAUCGGCUUGUCCGAAGAUAGGGGUCUAGCCUUCAUAAAGCACCACCCUUCUUGUGGUGUCCAGGACGCUAAUUUUCGCCCUUGAAAAUCCGAGCCAGGCAGCAUUAUUUUCAUGGCAGGCCAUAUGCAUAACCGCAGCAGGUCUCCAAGGGGAAAGGUCUGUAGC